CCUGACUGCUAUCGGAUUGAUACUAAGCCAUGCUAGUCUUUGUAGUAAUACAAGGCAUACGGCUCAGUAACGCGUAGUCAACCUACCCUAUGGACGGGGAUAAUCUCGGGAAACUGGGCAUAAUACCCGGCAGACCACUUAUCCUGGAAUGGUUAGUGGUUAAAAUGAUUCGUCGCCAUAGGAUGGGACUGCGGCCUAUCAGCUUGUUGGUGAGGUAAUGGUCCACCAAGGCGAUUACAGGUACGGGCUCUGAGAGGAGAGGCCCGGAGAUGGGUACUGAGACAAGGACCCAGGCCCUAUGGGGCGCAGCAGGCGAGAAAACUUUGCAAUGUGCGAAAGCACGACAAGGUUAAUCCGAGUGAUUUCUGCUAAAGGAAUCUUUUGUUAGUUCUAAAAAUACUAGUGAAUAAGGGGUGGGCAAGUUCUGGUGUCAGCCGCCGCGGUAAAACCAGCACCUCAAGUGGUCAGGAGGAUUAUUGGGCCUAAAGCAUCCGUAGCCUGUUCUAUAAGUUUGCGGUUAAAUCUAUACGCUCAACGUAUAGGCUGCCGUAAAUACUGUAGAACUAGGGAGUGGGAGAGGUAGACGGUACUCGAUAGGAAGGGGUAAAAUCCUUUGAUCUAUUGAUGACCACCUGUGGCGAAGGCGGUCUACCAGAACACGUUCGACGGUGAGGGAUGAAAGCUGGGGGAGCAAACCGGAUUAGAUACCCGGGUAGUCCCAGCUGUAAACGAUGCAGACUCGAUGAUGCAAUGGCAUAGAGCUAUUGCAGUAUCGCAGGGAAGCCGUUAAGUCUGCCGCCUGGGAAGUACGUACGCAAGUAUGAAACUUAAAGGAAUUGGCGGGGGAGCACCACAAGGGGUGAAGCCUGCGGUUC
rnacentral:rRNA from 1 species